rnacentral:lncRNA from 1 species
UGUAAUCUUCAUUUAAGCUCUUUAUUUGGUUGAAAAUCUCCAAGUUAGCUAGAUAGAUAAAGUUGGGGAUAAAAAUGUAUAGACAUACAUAUUGUAAGUAUAAGUUUUGGUGGCUAUAAAUAAGACCACUCACUAGUGCUAGCAAAGGUUGACUUCAUUUUAUUUUCUAAGUAUUGUGAGCUUGAGAGCAAAAUACAAUUGAGAGCAAAAAGGAGUGGUGGCCGAAAUUUCUAGGAGGGGAAGCUAACUAGCGGAUGUCAUCUAGCUUCAUCACCUACUUUGGAAAGAAGAGAAGAAGUGCAUCCAAAACCAAGAGGUUUAAAAGUUUUCUAAUCUUAAAACUCUAAGUAGUUUAUUGUUUAUUUAUGUUAUCUAGCAUGUUAGUUGCGGGAGGAACAUUGUGACGAGGAACUAUGGUGAGUUACGAAGAUAUAAGGGUGGAUGUGUAAAGGAGAUUGUGUGCUUAUGUGAAAUAUGUGUAUUUGUGUAGUUGUUUUGCAAAUAAAUGAAGAGCGCAUAUUUUUAAACACUAUGAUAGUAAAUAUAUGGGUUAGAUGAUAUUUUAUGGUUAGAUGUGUUCAAUAUGUGUGUUGAUGUACUUAGAAGGUAAAGAAAAAUAAGAAAUGUUUUUAUGAGAUUUAGUUCAAGAACCCUAGAAAUUUCAGUCCACUUUGGACAACUACUGUUUUCAAAUUGUAACUUGUUUUUGAGAUCCGUCAGAUUUCUUGGAUAGAUCUAUAAAUUUUAUAAAGAUCCCCGUUGGAUUUGCUAAUAAAUAUUGAACGAGCUUUCGGUGGCGAAUUUUCUACCAAAACAGUUUUCUGUCAAAAAAUUUGAAAAACCUACUGCCCUUAAAUUUCUAAGGCCUGUUUUGGCCAAUUAACUUGGUCUAAAACUUUUGGCCUCCAGGGAUCUGAAAUUAUAUAGUAUCAUUGAGUCGUUGUCCAAAAAUGAGCUCAUUCCAACUCCGUACAAGCGAGUUAUGGCCCAACAAAGAUUUCGAUUUUUAAAAUUAAAACUACAAUAUCUUGAAGCGUGUAACUCAGAAAAUUAUGAACUUAACUGAGGGUAGUUUCUGAUGGCAGGAAGUUGUCGUGUAAAUUUCAGAAUUUUCUAAUGAAUUCUCGAUUUUUAAUAAAUAUGGCAAUUUUGGACAGAAAUGACCUAUUUAAAAAUAGUAAAUAAUAUUAAAAAAUUAAAGAAAUUUUAUUUGUAUGUAAAAUGAAAUAUACUAAAUAUAUCCAAGAGAUAUAAAAAUAAUAAGUUAAUUAAGUAUUUUUAAUAAAUACAACUGAGUUAAGAAAAAUAAAGAAAAAUAAUUAUUUAUUAUUUAAUUAAAAUUAAAUAAUAAAUAAAUUUAAUUAAGGCAAUUGUUUAUUAUUUAAAUAAUAUUAAAUAAUAAAUACAGUGAUUAAAUAGAAUUAAAUUAAUAAAUUAAUAAAAUGAUUAAACAAAUAAAGAGUAAAUUGUUUUAGUGUUUAAAUUUAUUAAAUGAAUGAAAUAUUAUUAAAUAAUUAAUAAUAUUAAUUAAGAAUUAAAUUAAUAAUAAUUGUUAAGGGUCAAAGUAUUAUUAAAAGGGUUAAUAAUAUUAGCAAGAGAUUAAAAUAUUAUUAAAGGAUAAAUACUAUUAGUAACCAACUAAGAUGUUAUUAAAUAAUUAGGGUUAAAUGCUUUCUAAGUCAUUGUACUAUAGGUCAACUUACAAAUGGGUCACUGAACUUUUUUUUCUUACAGUCAACUUACUACACUCGAUUUUUCUAACAAAAAGUUAAAAAAACUGUUAAACUAGUUUGACUGUUAACGGAAAGUACACAUCAGCUGCUGAGUUGUCCGUUACAAGCUGAUGUGGCGCCUUUGUGUGACGUGGCAGUGAUUAUGUGGAUUUUUAAAAAAAAUUUUAUGAAGAAAAUGAAAAAAAUAUUUUAAAGUAUAAUAUAAAUUAUAAAAUUAAAAAUAUUUUAAAAUUAAAAAUCUUUUCAAAUUCAGACAUUAAAUUUAUAAUUGAGUCAAUUUGGUGAUAAUUUUUUUUUCUUUUCUAACUAGGAUAAAUAAAUUUGUACUUUUACAUGCAAAUAAUUUUUAUCAAAUAAUUUUUAAUUUUAUCAAAUAAUUUUUAUUUUAAUUUUAUCAAAUAAUUUAUAUUGUAAUUUUAAUUUUAUCAAAUAAUUUUAAUUUUAAAAUUAUACAAAAUUUAAAUUUUAUAAUUUAAUUUAAUUAAAUUUAAGAAAUAAUCAUUUUUAUUAAAAAGAGGAAGAAAAAAACAAUUCUUAUUUUUGUGAUUAUAAGAAAAUAAAUUUUUAAAUAAUUAGUAACAAGUAUAAUUAUUUAAAAAAUUAUAAAAUUAAAAUAUACCAAAAUUACAAAUCAAAUCGUUACUUCAUAUAAUAAAUUACUCCCAUUUAUCCAUCAUUUUAUAAAUAUUCAUUUAUAUAAAAUCAUAUCAAAGCCCAAAAAAUAUGAAUACAACUCAGAAUCAAUUACUGCAAGUCUAGAAGGCACAAAUUGCCACUUCCUCCAUCCUCACCCGUUACUACAAGUCCAGAAUCAAUUACUACAACCCAGAAUCUCUUCUCCCGUUACAAACUCUAGACCCCUCCUCCUUCUUCCCCUUCAAUGGGAAACCCCUAUCCGAUUCUACCAUGGUCCAGAAGGCAAAAAUUUCCCUUUCCUCCAUCCUUACCCUACAGUUCUGCCUCCCUGGGGGUGGUGGUUCAGAUUCAGAUUGCGAUAAGGGUUCAGAUUCAGAUCUAGCCCCAGAUUCAGAUUCAUCACUUGGGCUCCCCGUCUCCUUCACGCGCGGUGGUUUCGAUUCCUUCUUAUCCUCCAUCAUAAUAGCUAGUUAGAUCUGAAAUUAAUGUUUGUUUGAUAUAGUAUGGUUUUCUCAUGUACCUUUUUACAAGUUGGGACUCAAAAGAAGGAUUCUGGAAUGGAACUUCCUUCCAUUUUGCUCGGCAAACGGGGUAAAUCUGAUUGAGUGUUUUACAUCGGAGGUGAUGCAGUGGAAGUGGAAGGAGUGUGAGCAUUCUGUAGUGAAAAUGGCAUGGCCUUGGCAUGGUUUCAUGGUGGUUAAGCAUAUUGAGCAAUUAGUAGAUCUAGGCUUUUGGAGAUGAAUGAUGGGUUUGAAUGAGAUGUCGAAGAAGGAGAUGAACAAUAUAUUUGAUUAUGCAGUGAAGAUUUGAUUUGUAAUUUUUUAAAUAAUUAUAGUUGUUACUAAUUAUUUAAAAACUUAUUUUCUUAUAAUCACAAAAAUAAGAAUUGUUUUUUUCCUCCUCUUUUCAAUAAAAAUGAUUAUUUUUUUAAUUUAAUUAAAUUAAAUUAUAAAAUUUAAAUUUUGUAUAAUUUUAAAAUAAAAAUUAUUUGAUAAAAUUAAAAUUACAAUAUAAAUUAUUUGAUAAAAUUAAAAUAAAAAUUAUUUGAUAAAAUUAAAAAUUAUUUAAUAAAAAUUAUUUGCAUGUAAAAGUAAAAAUUAUUUAUCCUAGUUAGAAAAGAAAAGAAAAAAAAAUUAUCACCAAAUUGAUUUAAUUAUAAAUUUAAUGUCCGAAUUUGAAAAGAUUUUUAAUUUUAAAAUAUUUUUAAUUUUAUAAUUUAUAUUAUACUUUAAUUUUUUUUUUUCAUUUUCUUCAUAAAAAUUUCUCUAGAAAUCCACAUAAUCACUGCCACGUCACACAAAGGCGCCACAUCAGCUUGUAACGGACAACUCAGCAGCUGAUGUGUACUUUCCGUUAAUAGUCAAGCUAGUUUAACGGUUUUUUUUAACUUUUUGUUAGAAAAAUCGAGUACAAUGAGUUGACUGUAAGAAAAAAAGUUCAGUGACCCAUUUGUAAGUCGACAUAUAGUACAAUGACUUAGAAAGCAUUUAACCCCAAAUAAUUAAUAACAUUAGUAAGUGAUUAAAUGAUAUUAAAAUGGUUAAUAAUAUUGUUAUGUAAUUAAAAUAUUAUCCAAGGAUGAUAAUAUUGUUGUUAAAUUGAACAUGUUUUUAGAUAUUGAAUUAUGUGAUUAAAUGAAAAUUGAUUUAGGUGAAUUAUGUGAACUACCAUAUGUUAUACUAAUUGAAAUAUAAUGUGACGCCCCCAAAUUCUAUUCACUACCUAUAUCAGAUUUGGUCCUCACGUAUAUAAAUAUUUCAUAAUAUAUAAUUCCUAUCUUUCCAAGGUUCAAAGUAUCCCAUAACAGAUAAUAGUUCCCAUCAGAACAAUCUCUGUGUUUGGAUACCCUCACUUGGAUAAAUAGGUUUAUAUCUUAUGUAUAUUUCUUUCAUAUUCAUGGUUCCUAUAUAUCUGACAUUCACUGUAUAAAUGAUAAGAUUGUUCUUGGAACCGAGGAGCGACAUCAGUGCUUACAGAACUCCCAAAGUCAUUCAAUAUCCUCAUUCAGAUGUAUAGUUCAUGUGAAUACUGUAUUAAAUCAUUACUAUCCUCUAAAAUAACUAAUAAUGUAAAUACAACGCAAAAGAUUGUAGACACUCAAAUUUUUGCAUUCCUACUACUAACCUUGCAAGAGGUCAAAAUUGUCUUUCAGAGAUAACCCUGGAAGUCAAAUCAGCUCAAUCCCGGAGACAACCCCGGGACAAUCAGUUCAAUCUUUGAGACAACCCCGAGAUAUUCAGCUCUAAGCCCGGAGAUAACCCCGGGAGACUCAGUUCCAACCUCCGAGAUAACCCCGAGGGAUGCAGUUCCAGUUCCGGAGAUAACCCCGAAAAAGUCACUUUUAACCCCAGAGAUAACCCCAGGAUACUCAAUUCAUACCCCAGAGAUAACCCUGGGAGGUCAAUCACACCUCAGAGACAACCAUGAGGACAUUCAACAUUCACAACAACCCAAUCUCAGAGAUAACCCAGAGUAACGACUGCUACAUCUGCGCAGAGCCGGAGAUAACCUCGGUGAGGGGCAAAAAAAUUAUUUUGCCACCUCGAUACUACAUUCAUGUCGUCUCAACAUCAUUUCAAUCAACACUUCAUACAAGGUGUCUCACAAGAACCACAGCUCAAAUCCCGAGUGACUACUACAGAAGACAACACACUAGAUAGAAUUUGAAGACUUGAAGAUCUGGUCAUGGACCCAUCUUCCCAGCUUCGUACAACCUCUAAUCCCAUGUCAUUGUGUAGCUCUUGAUAAUAUCAAUCUGAAAAGGUAAAUCACACCUUUAUCAGAUGCCCAAAUUAAAAGUUACGAAGGUUCGAAUGGACAGCGCGUUGCACGAAUGCACAUACUUCGAGAUAAUGGGACUCACAUGGCCCGGGGCACCCCGGGCAGCCGCAGGUAGACCCACAGCUGCCGCGGGUUGACCCGCGACCAUAUGGUCUUUAAAUAUGAGCUCUUGGUUGCUCAUUUAAAAAAAAGGAGAGAAAACUCUGUCCAUUUCAGCUUGUAAACACUUCUAGAGUGCUCUAAACUGUGUGAUUCUUCUUUAUAAACACUUGUAAGCUCGUGUUUUGCUACAUACUGAAAUUUAACCGAUGGAAACUAGGUUUUCAGGUGUUUAAAGCUAUCUGAAGUCUUCUUGGUAGCCCACUGUAAGAUAUUUCAAAUUUUU